rnacentral:rRNA from 1 species
AAAUGACUCUCGACAACGGAUAUCUCGGCUCUCGUAUCGAUGAAGAACGUAGCGAAAUGCGAUACUUGGUGUGAAUUGCAGAAUCCCGUGAACCAUCGAGUCUUUGAACGCAAGUUGCGCCUGAAGCCUUAUGGCUAAGGGCACGUCUGCCUGGGCGUCACUCAU